GACGAACGCUGGCGGCGUGCUUAACACAUGCAAGUCGAACGGAAAGGCCCUGCUUUUGUGGGGUGCUCGAGUGGCGAACAGGUGAGUAACACGCGAGUAACAUGCCCUUGACUUUGGGAUAACUUCAGGAAACUGGGGCUAAUAUCGGAUAGGAGCUCCUGCUGCAUGGUGGGGGUUGGAAAGAUUCGGCGGUUGGGGAUGGACUCGCGGCUUAUCAGCUUGUUGGUGAGGUAGUGGCUUACCAAGGCUACGACGGGUAGCCGGCCUGAGAGGGUGACCGGCCACAUGGGGACUGAGAUACGGACCAGUAUCCUACGGGAGGCAGCAGUGGGGAAUAUUGCACAAUGGGCGGAAGCCUGAUGCAGCAACGCCGCGUGCGGGAUGACGGCCUUCGGGUUGUAAACCGCUGUCGCCUGUGACGAAGCGUGAUUGACGGUAAUGGGUAAAGAAGCACCGGCUAACUACGUG
rnacentral:rRNA from 1 species